rnacentral:lncRNA from 1 species
GAGAAUAUCAGAUAAAUGACAGGCAGGCUGAGAAGGGGAAGUGUCCGUGGUUCCUCGAUAUACGGAUGAAAACAGGGAACGUGAACUAGCCACAGUCCUAUGCCUAGCUGCUAGGCAACGCUGCCCCGGCUCUGAAAACUUUCCUCCUCGCUUGAUUCAGGUUUAAAUAACAAAGCCGCUUCUGACGUAGGACGAUGGGCUGCCGUGCCCGCCUUCGCCCGGUCCAUAGCAGAGAGUGGGAGGGGACGAUGCUGGGUGUCGUGGCUGCUGCGUGUGGAGACUUCCAGUGGUGAUAUGUCACAUAAGAGGCAGUGUUUGUGCAAACGGAGUGAAUAUAGUGUGCAUGCCAUUAUCAGCUAAAUGUGUUUGACUUGUCAUUCAUUCACUUCUGCUCCCUCUACCUCAAUGAAAAUAACAAAAGGCGGGGCUCAACAGCUGGGUGUAAAGCAAUCAAAGGAAUAUGGAAGAUCAGGACCUGAGCCACUAAUUGAUUGUUUAAUCUCCCACCAGGGUGAAAUCACUGGCACAAAGCCUCGAUUCACUGUCGAGCUCUUGAGCUCGGCUGAUGACGAGUGAUUACAGCUGCUGAAACCCAAAACUUGCUCUGUGUGUGUUCACUUUCAAUCACUCUGCCACACACGUACGUACCAGAGAUAAGGCAUACAGCACACAAAAAGAGCCCACACACUCAAGUGCUAUGCUUUCUCUCUAAAAGCAUCCAUACACAAUAAGAAAGCUUCUGUCACCUUAUGGCCUUUCUGAUGCACAACUUACAGGCUUGAGCCUAGUAGAGGAUGAACUUUGAUGUUAAGAAACAUGUGGAAAAGCUUGAUCUCAAAUAAAUGAAUAGAUCAGAGUAGAUGAGUGGCUUGUUGUGGUCAUUUUGUCAUCAUGUGAUAUAUUGGCAUCGAUUCCACACGGAACCAGAAAACAUAUUUUGAGGAAAUGUUUCCGCACAGUGUCUUCAAGAACGUAAAUCAAAAAGGAAUGACAUAAUCUUCAUACUCUCAGAUGGAUUUCUGUUGGACAGUAUGACAUGCCAAGCAUUCACUUCCUCUCAUGUAAUUGCUGAAUCAGUUUUACAGUCUGUUUUUUUAAGGAACAAACUGUAUGUUGAGGUAUGAAAAUUAUGGUUUGUUUUUCAUUGCUGAAGCAUGACAGCAUGGGGAAAUUGCUGUCAUUAUUUCCUAGCAAUAAAAGAGUCCUGUUAUGUCAUCGGCAAGUUUCAAUCUGUAUUGUUAUCCUGUAAACAGUCAGAUAAGCUGUUUCAUGUGUGUUUUAAUUGGAAAUGUAAUCGAGAGCAUCUUCUGUGUGCUAAAUCCAGCACAUUGUGAAGCAGGUGAAGACCAACACCUGUUGACCAAAAAACAAGAAAACAGUUUUAUAGGUGGCACAAAUCUUGUUAGUUUCUAAAACAAAGCAUGUCAGUCCUGGGCACAGGUUAGAUAUUUCUACUAAGUAUGACUGGCUCAACUAAUGAACCAUUACUCCUUCUCAAAGAAUUCAAAAUAUGUUGCAACCGGUAAGGCUGUAUAUUAGCAUGACAACAUAAACAGUCAAACUCAUGUGUCAUUUCAUAACAAUGAUAGUCUAAUAUAGUUUAUAUUUCUUAUUUAAUACUUCUUUUUUUUUCAAAAUGUGCCACUGUUUGUUUUUCAUUGUUAGCACAGCAUGUGAGGCUGGCAUGACUGUAAUAUUAUUAUGCUUGCACAAGAAAACAAUAAAAUAACAAUUAAAGUUUUGACUCUUGAAUGUUGCAUAAGGGGUUUCUGGGAGACAGAGUGAGUGUGCACUAAUUCCUGCUAUGAAUGCAGAAAAUAACUUGGUGAAGGGACCUGAGGCUGUGAAAGCAGGUUUGUUUUUCCAUCCAUUGAACACUGCUGUCACCAAGUGGACCUUAGUGAACAGUGCAUCAAUGUUGUUAAAAAGCUGAAGUUGAAAGUUUACAUACACUCAUUUUUCCUUCCCAGGGAGUGAUUUGCAGCAUACACCUUUAAUGACUUAAAAAAAUCCAACUUGUCAAGCAAGUGGUACCUCACCCAGAUGCUUUUGGUAGCUAUUAAGAAGCUUCUGCCAUAAUUGGGUAUUUGACUAACUUUUUUGGCAGAAUUGGCAAAGUUCUUUAAAUGAGUUGGUUUCCUAGUACAGAACUGGGUUGAGGCUGGUGCUGGGGAUCAUUGUCCUGUUUGAACUGUGUCCAAGUUUCAACCAUCUAGCUCUUCAAUUUGGAUGUAGUUCUACUUCUUCUCACUUUGUAAUAUACCAGGACCACUGGCAGCCUAAGAUCAUGAAGCUACUAUCACCAUGCUUAAAAGCUGCUACAGUGUUCUUAGAUUUAAAAGUCUCACCUUUACACCUUCAAACUCUUGUCACUGUGGCCCAAUAGUUUAAUCUUUGUCUCAUCUGACUCUAAAACUAAAGAAGUUACAAUGAGUAGUGAGAGCAGCGGAGAGGAUCGUGGGUACUUCUCUUCCCUCCCUCCAGGACAUCUACUGCACCUGCCUCUGCAUUACAGGUGACUCCACUCAUCCAUCCAACAGCUUCUUCAGUUUGCUGCCAUCAGGAAGGAGACUGAAGAGCCUCCAGGCUAGAACCAGCAGACUGAGAGACAGCUUCGUCCAUCAGGCUGU